rnacentral:miRNA from 1 species
AAAAAAAUGAGGGGGAGGGGAGGGAGGGAGGGAGGAGAACGAAAAGGAAAAGUUAGAUGGUCUUCAGUAAUGAUGUGGUGUCUUUUCCUUCCUUCCUUCCUUCCUUCCUUUCUCCCUCCCUUAUUUU